GCGUCCUUGGUGUAACGGUAACACGCAAGUCCUUUUGGACUGGUCCGGGGUUCGACUCCCCGAGGGUAGG